rnacentral:rRNA from 1 species
UACGUAGGGUGCAAGCGUUGUCCGGAAUUAUUGGGCGUAAAGAGCUCGUAGGCGGUCUGUCACGUCGGACGUGAAAAUCCAGGGCUCAACCCUGGACCUGCGUUCGAUACGGGCAGACUAGAGUUCGGUAGGGGAGACUGGAAUUCCCGGUGUAGCAGUGAAAUGCGUAGAGAUCGGGAGGAACAUCAGUUGCGAAGGCGGCUCUCUGGACCAGCACUGACACUGAGGCACGAAAGCGUGGGGAGCAAACAGG